ACCUGUGCAUCUGAGGACUGCCUGCCUGUGAGGUUCUCUCUCAGAGGCUGGACUGAGAGGAUUCAGCUAGCCAACUGUGCUACCAUGGGUUUGACAUUUCUGAUGACAGCCGACCUGAGAGACGGAGACCAGACCUCUGGACCAGAGCAAAGAGUGUGCUGGGUAAAAUGUGGAGUAAAGAGGCGACAUAAAAAGAUAAAUAGAAAAGUGAGACUAGAGGCAAUCACCUCUUCCGUCUGGUUGCCAGCCCUGUCCUGCCCAGCAGCUUUGUCCAGCCAUGUGAAUGUGUGUUUGGUAAGUGUGUGUCCUUGUGUAUUGACUGCUUUCAAGAAGCAGUCAGGCCACAGUCAAGCCAUAUCCCUCAAAUACUAUACAGGAUGUUCUUGAUGUACUUACUGCUAUUCUCAUAUUUCUUACUUGUAAUAAUUUACCAUUUAUUGUAACUGAUGCCAUAUCCCAGUAAAAUGUUCACACACAGUGUAGUUGUUUU